rnacentral:misc_RNA from 1 species
CUGGAAUCACCGCCAGGGCUGCAAGCACCGGUUGCAAGGUAACCUGCCAUCCAGGUAGCCCGCCAAGAUAUGGGUCCAUUUCUUUCCUGUACUAUUGAUUUGCUCAGAGAAAGAAUAAAAUCAUCAUCAUAGCCUCAUAAUUUUCGCAACAACCAUUACUACUACUACUGAUUAUCCCUUUAAAGUUGAGAAAUUGGAGAGAACAAGCAUAUUGCUGUUUAACUGCAGAAGGGCUAUUAAAGAUUCUUUUUUUCACAACAAAAAUGAAAUCACAGGUAUUGCAGAGAGGAG